rnacentral:rRNA from 1 species
CCUACGGGAGACAGCAGUGAGGAAUAUUGGUCAAUGGGCGGGAGCCUGAACCAGCCAAGCCGCGUGAAGGAAGAAGGCGCUAGGGGUUGUAAACUGCUUUUGUAGGGGAAUAAAGCGCGUUACGCGUGGCGCUGUGAGUGUACCGGAUGAAAAAGGACCGGCUAAUUCCGUGCCAGCAGCCGCGGUAAUACGGAGGGUCCGGGCGUUAUCCGGGUUUAUUGGGUUUAAAGGGGGCGUAGGCGGGACGGAAAGCAAGCUGUGAAAGGUCCGGGCUCAACCCCGGCGGUGCCGGUGAAACUGGCGUGCUGGAGUCCGCGGAAAGCAGGCGGAAUUCGCCGUGUAGCGGUGAAAUGCAUAGAUAUGACGCAGAACCCCGAUUGCGAAGGCAGCGUGCCGCCGCGGAACUGACGCUGAGGCUCGAAAGCGUGGGUAUCGAACAGGAUUAGAUACCCCAGUAGUC